rnacentral:misc_RNA from 1 species
AAGUCGUAACAAGGUUUCCGUAGGUGAACCUGCGGAAGGAUCAUUAGUGAAUUCAAACUUUCUCGGAUGGCAGCAAUGUCGGAAGAGUUCGGUCAAGUCCCUCGUGGCUUGUGCCGUUGAAAUACACAUCCAUAACACCUGUGAAAUGUCUGUCAGGCCCAUCGGCUCACGCCCCUGGACUUGCACUUUACAAACUUACUCUGUAAAAAAUGUCGAAAUACAAAAAUAAAAUAAAACUUUUAACAACGGAUCUCUUGGCUCUC